GUGGCUGUAAUAUUUCUCCAUGUAUUGAAGUCAGAAUUCCCGUAGUUCAUUUUAGCUAUUUCAUGUGGAAAACCACAAUAAACAUGUCUCCAUGCACCCCUUUUCUCCAGUGCAUGGACAUCCCUGCAUGGACUGCAAAGCCAUUAGGUGGAUUCUCACUGGAAUCCCUUUUCUGGAACAACCACUGCUGUAACUCCAGUGCAACAUCUACUUCUGGAUGUGGAGAAUUUUAAGAGUGCCUCAUUACCAACCACUAAUUAAAUCUAAUGUGAAAGAAAUGUUGGAUGAAAUCUUGCCAGCGUUGAAGUUUCUGGCAACGCUCCCAUUGACUUCAGCCAGAACUUAAAUUUUGCUUUUUGGGUUUUGGACUCUUCUGAAGGUGAUCAUUAUAAUUAUUUCUUAUCCGGGAUCUUCAGUUACAAGCUCAGGUCUCGUAGCAGUAGACAGGUAAAGUGGCUGUUUGGUUUUUAGAUCAUUACACUCAAUGUGACGAGCAGAAGAAGCUGUUGAAUGAAACAGCUAGGCGAGGUGGAAAGAGGUGGGGAGAGGGAGCUGACCUUGAGACUAACAAAGUUUGUCGUAACAGUGAGUAGUUUAUUAGAAAACAUAACAUAGCGCUUUCCUUUCACCGUGGGUAAAAUGUUCAGAAGUGCCUGCCUAUAACCAAAUGAUUUAUUCCUGGGGUGAGCCAGCCCUCUUUGAAGACAGAGUCUUUUAAGAAUGUGUGUUUGGGUCUAAUGAGAAGAAUUACCAGUCCCAAAUGAGAAGGGCUCAGCGGUUCAUGUAAAAGCCAGACAUCCUGGGCAGUCCUGGCUGGAGUUACAGGUGUAGGUGUUAUCCACACAUACGGAUGUAACGACAGGAGUGGGGGCUCACGCAAGAGGGAUCCGUAAUAGCAUCCAAAACGCAUGUGAGAAACAUGUAAAGAAUGUGGGGUCUGGCUUGAAGGGGAUGAUCUGCACAGGCGUCUGUAAGAGCUGCUGCAAUGUACGUGAAAAUCCAUUGUACUGUUGUACUCGGAUCUGUGGUAUUUACAGCUGUGUCCUGGCUUGUUUUUAACUUUCCUAAUUCCUUCCUAAAACUCAUUUAAAUUCCUUACUGGUUUGUUUUUCUCUUCCCUGUAGCACUCCUUGAUCUAUGUAGUUCAAUUAAAAGGCAGCAUGAGGGCAGUAUCUACAAGAAGUUGUUUAUUUCUGUACUUUGUUGCAAAUAGAAGUUCUCUAAAUGCUCGGCUUCUGAAGCAACAUAUUUUCCACUUCUUUUUAUUUCUCUCACCCCCAAGCUGCUAAAACUUUGCUUUAAAACUGCCAUGUGGAUUAACAAAUGCCUGCCUGUUGGUAUAAACUGAAUUUUCCAUUAGUGACAACUCACAUGAUGUGUCAGGCUAAUAGGGCAGAUACAGAGCGUAGCAAAUUUGGUUUCUUGGUUUUCCACUUUGCUCACAGUAGCACUGCAACAAAGGAGGUUUUUCUAGCUGUGUUUUACCUUUCCUUUUCAUCAGCAGUUUUGGAUUAGAUACCUUCUUGUUUCAUGUGUAAGGCUCAUUGCAGAUGAAAGAAGGACACAAUUAGGUCUCUCUCACAGCACCACAGUUGUUUGCCGCCUUGUUGGGUUUUUGUAUGCAGGUUUCAAUGUGUUCCUAUCAGCUGCUCCCGUGUUGUACUUGGAGAUGAGGGUCUCAGGCAGGGUCUCCUUCCAGGGUGAUGAGGGAACCUAGGAGAAGCAGAGGAGCAUUAGUUUGAAGAGCAGAUGUGUUACACUAGGACUAACUUUAAGAAUAUUCUUGGAAAGUCCAUACCGGCUCCAAGAAUCUUGUAAGAGGGUAUUUCCUUGGUGAUGCUGGAAGUCAGACAUCUCCCAUCAGAAGGCUUCUCUGAGACUUAGUAAAUAUUUUGUUUUGUACGAGCUCUUUCUGAAGUGUUCUUCCUGUAUUUUGUGUACAUCAUGAUUUUUUCCCAAUUAUGCUUUAAAUACAAUUGAGUGCUUGUUUACGUCAUCAGUUGGAGGAAUAUGGGUGCCCUUAACAUGUAGUGCUUAGUCUGGCUAAUUACAAACCUGUUCAGUAAUUCCCUUUCCUUUGUACCGACUGUUUAUAUCUCCAAAGAAAGAUUGCUUAACAUGACAAUGCCUGAAACACUCGACUGUGGAACAUCACUGCGUGAUCAUUGGAAGAGCGGUCCUUUCGUUUCAACUGUAGUGUGACUGCUUCCUGAGGAAGGGUAACGGCUGUUGAAGAACCAUGUCCUAAGUGGUUUUUUAUGAUACUGUGUUAACGCAGUAGCUGUGACUGCUAUAGGUGUACUGCUUCUGGUUGUCACUGAAAUACGGAUAGAUGUUUCUUUUAGUGUAGGGGAGGCCAUGCAAUUUUCUGGGAGAAAGUCCGUAGUCUUAAGCAGUUCAUACAUCCAGCUGAUGUUAAGAGGUCUCCUGAUGUCUGUGUAGUGUCUUCUAUUCUCAAAUGGAUAUUCGGUGGUAAAAAUGGCAGUACAUCAAUAUCAGGUUAUACAUUUAGAAGAAGCAGUAUGUGAUAAAAAUAAAAAAUCCCAUUGCCUUUCAUCUGUCCCAUUUUCCUCUGUAGAACAUGUGGUUUCUGUCUCUGGAGACAAAUAUGAAUCAGAAGUUGUCAAUGGGAUGUAAAAGUCAGUGGAAAGCUUUUAGCUGACAUUAAUCAAUGCUGUAAAAGGCAGAAAAAUAGAUGGUGUCGCAGGUACCUCAUAGUGUCUGCACUGGCAAGUAGUGCAGCAAACCAGGAAUCAAUCUGUAGAGCUGAGUCGUGGCUAAGGACCCAGAUGUUGCUGAGAACCCAGUCUCCACACUGUGGGACCGUAUGGGUCAACUGCCAUUUGGAAGCAGGGGUUCUCAGAUAGCUCCUUAACCUCAGCUUGCGUAUCCAGAUGUUUUCACAAGUCAUUACGUGGACACUGUAUUCAAGCAGCAAAGGCUGUACAUCUUCUUCCUCCCAUUAAGAAACUAUGAUACGCAUGAACAUUGCAAUAUCUUCAUUUUAAAAAAUUCUUUAUUUUGAUUGGGACAUCUGCAUUCUUAAAAAAAAAAAAAACAACAAGACACUUAAAUGUCUCUGCAAAGACAUCUGCCAGCCUAAUUCUAAAGUGGGUCUGAGACCCCAGGCCAGUUCCCAUUUGCGGUGCUGUGCCACACUUUCAGAAAGUGGACGAUCUUUGCAUUCUGGAGCAAGGCUGUUUUUAUUGUGACAUUUUCUGCACAAUAAAAACACUCAUCCUUUCAAGUUAAAUCAACAGUUGUAGCAAAAUGGCUAACAGAAUUGCAGUCAGAUUCUCAAUUGCCUUUAAAAGAAGAGAAAAUGCUGUGACAUUUGAGGCUGACAUAAACAACAUCACUAGAAUGAAUUAAAUGAAUGUUAUCUAUUUUUCUGAGUGGCUUUUAGAGUCUUUAGAAUGCUUUUUGGAUUGUUACUACUGAGUAGUAUUAACAAAGUACCAAACAUCUAUUUCUGUGUAAUUCAUCUUUUGCAAUAUUUGAUAGUCCUGAAGUAAUGGAAGAGUCAAUUGUAACUGGAAAUGGAAGAAAUGAAGCAUCAGAAAAGAUAGAAUGUUAUCAAAUAAGAAAGUAAACAAGUUUUGAAAUUAGAAGAUGUGUUUGCAGAUUCCGGUAGCUUACUCAAACAAGUGUGAUAAUGCUGUGUGGGGUUACAAGAGAUUUAACCAUAGCUGUUAAGCUGCAAAGAGCUUGUGUAAAUAGAUUUAAUUUCCAAAAAAAAAGCAGACUUCACUCAAAACGAGCACUUCCCUCUGUAGUCAUCCUCAAAUGGCAAAUUGCUCAAGGAAGUUUGAGCCCUGACUUCUAGGCCCCCACUACAGAAGCUUACGGUUUAUACUUGCACAAAGGAAGCCUGGUUUUGAGUUCAAAGCUAGAAUCUCAGAGCAGGUGGAUUUCAGGGAAUUUAAGGAUUUAUUCUGAACUUUGUCUAGCAAUCCAGGAUACUCUGAAAAAAAAAAAAAGAGCAAAAUAUGUGUUUUGACUUACGAAAAAGAUUAAAAGCUAGAGAUGACAUAAAUCGUGGAUAAUUGUUUUGAGGAAGAGUUUGAUUUUCCAGACAUCCUGUUCUCAGUCUGCAGUGGCAGAGAGUUAAAGAAUCGCAGUGAUCACCUUUGACUAAAACGGACACACACACAAGGCCGUGCCCUUGUCCAUUUGUCACACCAUGACGCCAUGGAGGUACCACAGCAUCCACCAUCCCUGGGAUGGUGUAGGCCACGCUUGUGUCUCUCUGGAUGUGUCUUUCGUGUGUUCAACAGCAAUACGAUCAGGAGCUCGAGCAGAGUCCGAUGCGAAGAUCCCGUCUCAGCUCACUAAUUCAAACUGCAACGGUCAUUCUUGCCCCGUUUUAUAUACGAUAGUACAAUGCAACGCUUUUCAGCUUUUGAUGAGGUCUCAGAAGUUGCCAAAUGAAGCCCCAGUGAAGGACCAAUUCCAGCCCUUACGAUCAAGGCACAAGAGUCCCCAGAAAGAGCCUGUUUGUGGAAUCGCUGCGUUACAAUUAGCUCAGCACAAGCCUUCCAUGAGGAAUUACAGGACCUUAUUUGCAGCAUCUGUCGAAAUAAUUGCACCUCUCAGUGAUUUUUAUCCCUCUAUUCCUUGUUUUAAGUA